AUGAACUUUAUAAGACGUUUUUUGGAGGAGCUGGAUAUAGUCGAAGCCCAAAAAUCGCAAUCGACACCAGCACCGGCGGCUCCCAGAGCGCGGACAUGGCUGCCACCUGAUGGAGAAGCAGUGAAGCUAAAUUGUGAUGGCGCCAUAUCAACUUUGGGCGACAAAGGAGCGGCGGCCGUGGUGUGCCGCGACAAGACUGGCAAGUUUCUUGGCGCUUCAGCUUUAGUUCUUGAGGGUUUGACUGAUCCGGCGAGCUUGGAGGCACAUGCAUGCAGUGAGGCCCUUGCCCUCGCUAAUGAUCUGAACCUGCAGGACCUGCUGAUUGCCUCAGACUGUUUAGAGGUGAUCUCCAACAUAAAUCAACAUGCAAUACCAGUGUACGCGUCAGUUCUGCAGGAGAUUAAAGUUACUAGGAACUUUUUCAAUUCAGUUAACUUUCGUUUUGAACGUAGAGAAAAUAAUUUUGAAGCCCACUCGGUUGCAAAAGGAGCUGCGUCUCUGCCGGUGGGCUGCCACGUGUGGCUAGGGAUCCUUCCUGAUAUUGCAUGUAUUCCGGAGGUGUUGAACUUUGAAUAA
rnacentral:rRNA from 1 species